UACGGAGGGUGCAAGCGUUAUCCGGAUUCACUGGGUUUAAAGGGUGCGUAGGCGGGCAGAUAAGUCAGUGGUGAAAUACCUGAGCUUAACUUGGGAACUGCCAUUGAUACUAUUUGUCUUGAAUGUCGUGGAGGUUAGCGGAAUAUGUCAUGUAGCGGUGAAAUGCUUAGAUAUGACACAGAACACCAAUUGCGAAGGCAGCUCGCUAAACUGUAACUGACGCUGAGGCACGAAAGCGUGGGGAUCAAACAGG
rnacentral:rRNA from 1 species